GUGCCAGCAGCCGCGGUAAUACGUAGGUGGCAAGCGUUGUCCGGAUUUAUUGGGUUUAAAGGGUGCGUAGGCGGUUCUGUAAGUCAGUGGUGAAAUACUCUAGCUUAACUAGAGGGGUGCCAAUGAUACUGCAGAACUUGAGUACAGAUGAGGUAGGCGGAAUUGACGGUGUAGCGGUGAAAUGCAUAGAUAUCGUCAAGAACACCGAUAGCGAAGGCAGCUUACUGGGCUGUAACUGACGCUGAGGCACGAAAGUGUGGGGAUCAAACAGGAUUAGAAACCCGCGUAGUCC
rnacentral:rRNA from 1 species